rnacentral:lncRNA from 1 species
GUCCUCUAGAAAUUGCCAGGCUUCUAUAGGCUCUUUGUUCAUGAAUGGACCCUGACACAUUGAUUCUAAUAUGGUUCUAGAGUUUGGAUCUAGUUCUUCAUAAAUGAUUUGGCACAGCCUCUAAGUUUCUAUUCCAUGGUGUGGGUAUUGACUCAAAAGGUUCUUAAAACGAUCAAAGCACUUCCAAAAAGACUCAUCGGGUAAUUGAUAAAAUUGAUUAAUUUCAUUCUUAAAUUUGGCAGUCUUAUGGUGUAGAAAAAUUUUUUUCAAGAAC